AACGUACGCUGGCGGCACGCCUAACACAUGCAAGUCGAACGCAGUAGCAAUACUGAGUGGCAGACGGGUGAGUAACAUGUGGGAAUCUGCCUUGUGGUUCAGGACAACAUUGGGAAACCGAUGCUAAUACUGGAUAAGCCCUUACGGGGAAAGUUUUAAUGCCAUAAGAUGAGCCCGCAUUUGAUUAGUUAGUUGGUGAGGUAAUGGCUCACCAAGACAAUGAUCAAUAGCUGAUCUGAGAGGAUGAUCAGCCACACUGGGACUGAGACACGGCCCAGACUCCUACGGGAGGCAGCAGUGGGGAAUCUUGCACAAUGGAGGAAACUCUGAUGCAGCGAUGCCGCGUGAGUGAAGAAGGCCUUUGGGUUGUAAAGCUCUUUUGUAGGGGAAGAUAAUGACUGUACCCUAAGAAUAAGGUCCGGCUAACUUCGUGCCAGCAGCCGCAGUAAGAC
rnacentral:rRNA from 1 species